rnacentral:ncRNA from 1 species
AAACUAGUCCUGUAUUAUUUCGAUAAAGGGUUGCAUUGGUUGUCCUUGAACAACAUCAUUGGUGAACUGCAAAACCAACUCUUUCUUUUAGAGUGAAAAAUAUCUAAGGAAAGGUAGCUUGUUUUUUACACUCUAAAUCAUAAUGGUGGAUUCCUUAAGUAGACGAUUAUAUCAAGAGCAGAUAGUUGAAAACUUACAAGGAAUUUCAAGGGGAAUCUGACUGUUUAAUUAAAACUAGUACAGACAAGGGGAAUUUGACUAUUUAAUUAAAACAAAGAAUUGCGAUGGUACCCACAGAUGCUAGCAGAAUGUGAUUUAUUCCCAUUUCUCUACAUGUCAAAGUGAAUAAAUUCAACCAAGCAUAGGUAAACGACGGGAGUAACUAUGACUCUCUUAAGGUAACUAGAUGCCUCGUCAUCAAAUUAGUGACGCACAUGAAUGGAUUAACGAUAUUCCCACUA